AUGAACGCUGGCGGCGUGCCUAAUACAUGCAAGUCGAGCGAACAGACGAGGAGCUUGCUCCUCUGAUGUUAGCGGCGGCGGGUGAGUAACACGUGGAUAACCUACCUAUAAGACUGGGAUAACUUCGGGAAACCGGAGCUAAUACCGGAUAACAUGUUGAACCGCAUGGUUCAACAGUGAAAGACGGUCUUGCUGUCACUUAUAGAUGGAUCCGCGCCGCAUUAGCUAGUUGGUAAGGUAACGGCUUACCAAGGCAACGAUGCGUAGCCGACCUGAGAGGGUGAUCGGCCACACUGGAACUGAGACACGGUCCAGACUCCUACGGGAGGCAGCAGUAGGGAAUCUUCCGCAAUGGGCGAAAGCCUGACGGAGCAACGCCGCGUGAGUGAAGAAGGUCUUCGGAUCGUAAAACUCUGUUAUUAGGGAAGAACAAAUGUGUAAGUAACUAUGCACGUCUUGACGGUACCUAAUCAGAAAGCCACGGCUAACUACGUG
rnacentral:rRNA from 1 species